AACGAACGCUGGCGGCAUGCCUAACACAUGCAAGUCGAACGAGACCUUCGGGUCUAGUGGCGCACGGGUGCGUAACGCGUGGGAACCUGCCCUUCGGUUCGGAAUAACUGACAGAAAUGGGUGCUAAUACCGGAUAAUGUCUUCGGACCAAAGAUUUAUCGCCUUUGGAUGGGCCCGCGUUGGAUUAGCUAGUUGGUAGGGUAAAAGCCUACCAAGGCGACGAUCCAUAGCUGGUCUGAGAGGAUGAUCAGCCACACUGGGACUGAGACACGGCCCAGACUCCUACGGGAAGCAGCAGUGGGGAAUAUUGGACAAUGGGCGAAAGCCUGAUCCAGCAAUGCCGCGUGAGUGAUGAAGGCCUUAGGGUUGUAAAGCUCUUUUACCCGGGAUGAUAAUGACAGUACCGGGAGAAUAAGCUCCGGCUAACUCCGUG
rnacentral:rRNA from 1 species